UAGGUUGGCCUUCUGCUUCGAGCCAUGGGUUAUCCACCUAGGACAAGAAUAUUCCUAUCAGGUUCUGAAACCUUUGGCGGACAACGGGUUAUGAUUCCUUUACGCGCCAUGUACACCAAUUUAGUUGAUCGUACUUCUUUGUGCAGCAAAACAGAGCUAGCCAAUUUAGUUGGCCCUGAAACCCCCCUUAUUCCUGAUCCUGAUCAGUUUUUACCAGUAAAAAGUUCAAAUCAACUAAAAUCAGAAUGGGACAAGUCUGGUCCCCGCCCAAGGCCUCUACCACCUCCUCCUGAUCGACCUAUUUAUCGACAUGAAAAAGAAGGCUGGUAUGGGUGGGUUGCAGAGAAAGAUAAGGAACCAGAACCUUCUCUCAAUGAUCAGAGGGAGCAAGCACACCGACUGCUAUGGGAUGCUCUUGAUUACAUAGUCUCGGUGGACGCUGAAGUUUUUUUCCCUGGUUUUGACAAUGAUGGUAGUGGGCCUGAUUUUGCUAGCUUGGUGAUGGGACACCGACUUUAUGAGAUGGCAUCUGCAAGAACAUUUCGGCCAAACAGGUAAAACUAACAACACUCCUGGUCCUUUCUUUGUUUGGUGUUUACUAUUUCUUUUUAUUUACCAUCACUUUCUAAAAUGUAUCUUGUAUAUGCAGGAAAUAUCUUGCAGAGCUCUUUAAUACUACCGUCGAUCAUCUUUAUUAUCCACCUCGUAAUUGGACUUUUGCUGUCAGAGAACAUCUCAACAAAAGCCUGGCAGAAGAGGGCCUUUUGAAGGAAUCUAAUCUAUCAAAAACAAAGUUUUUCCUCUCUCACCCUAUUCCAGAAUGCUCAUGUUCAACUGUCAAGGCUACUGAUAUUGUGCAUUCAGGAAAGAACAACAAUCUCCAUCUGUUGUUUGAAGGGCAGGAUGAGUGCCCCAAAUGGAUGCAACAACUAAGAACUCAAGAGGCUAAAGCUGAUGAAGUUGAUUCUCAAGAAGAUGAGAUUGAUUUAAACGGGCAGUCAGAAUCGGAAGGAUACAAUGGAACUGAUGCAAUUCCAUCCCUGGAACAGGAUGAGGAAAUGGAUCCUGAUGAUUAGGAUUAGAUGUACAUAUCUUGCCUUCAUUUUCUUGUUCAUUUCCCUCUAUGCCACCGACGUCAAGCCCCACUCUGGAUUAAUCUUUUCUAAGAGUGUAAAAACUUACAGCAGCAGCAUGCUGCUUUUGGAAUGUCUGGAAGCACUCCCAAUUUUUUUGGGGCCAAAUUAACUGCAAGCACAGUUCUUCAAAUGUGCUUUAGAAGAAUCCGUGCAGUCUGCUUAGAGUUCAUUGCUUGGCAUCUGGACUCCAUUGGUCUCUUCCUUAGAACUCUCCCUCUUUCUCUCCAAGCAGGACAAGUUUUCUCAUCUUCUACAGGUAUACAGCAUACAAAAGAUGUCUAAAUUUCUAGUACUUUGCGACUGCACAAAGCAAAAGUGACACUGUGAAGCCAUAUAUAGUUGACAACGAUUCUUUGAUUUUCAUUUCACAUUUAGGUUGGCCUUCUGCUUCGAGCCAUGGGUUAUCCACCUAGGACAAGAAUAUUCCUAUCAGGUUCUGAAACCUUUGGCGGACAACGGGUUAUGAUUCCUUUACGCGCCAUGUACACCAAUUUAGUUGAUCGUACUUCUUUGUGCAGCAAAACAGAGCUAGCCAAUUUAGUUGGCCCUGAAACCCCCCUUAUUCCUGAUCCUGAUCAGCUUUUACCAGUAAAAAGUCCAAAUCAACUAAAAUCAGAAUGGGACAAGUCUGGUCCCCGCCCAAGGCCUCUACCACCUCCUCCUGAUCGACCUAUUUAUCGACAUGAAAAAGAAGGCUGGUAUGGGUGGGUUGCAGAGAAAGAUAAGGAACCAGAACCUUCUCUCAAUGAUCAGAGGGAGCAAGCACACCGACUGCUAUGGGAUGCUCUUGAUUACAUAGUCUCGGUGGACGCUGAAGUUUUUUUCCCUGGUUUUGACAAUGAUGGUAGUGGGCCUGAUUUUGCUAGCUUGGUGAUGGGACACCGACUUUAUGAGAUGGCAUCUGCAAGAACAUUUCGGCCAAAC
rnacentral:lncRNA from 1 species